UCGAGAAUCAUUCGCAAUGGGCGCAAGCCUGACGAUGCGACGCCGCGUGCAGGAUGAAGGCCUUCGGGUUGUAAACUGCUGUGAUGGGGGAGCAACGAGCGGAGUAUUAAUAACACUUCGCAGUGAUAGUACCCCAAGAGGAAGCCACGGCUAACUCUGUGCCAGCAGCCGCGGUAAUACAGAGGUGGCAAGCGUUGUUCGGAUUUACUGGGCGUAAAGGGUGCGUAGGCGGUCUCAUGUGUCGGAUGUG
rnacentral:rRNA from 1 species